rnacentral:rRNA from 1 species
GACGAACGCUGGCGGCGUGCCUAAUACAUGCAAGUCGAACGCUUCUUUCCUCCCGAGUGCUUGCACUCAAUUGGAAAGAGGAGUGGCGGACGGGUGAGUAACACGUGGGUAACCUACCCAUCAGAGGGGGAUAACACUUGGAAACAGGUGCUAAUACCGCAUAACAGUUUAUGCCGCAUGGCAUAAGAGUGAAAGGCGCUUUCGGGUGUCGCUGAUGGAUGGACCCGCGGUGCAUUAGCUAGUUGGUGAGGUAACGGCUCACCAAGGCCACGAUGCAUAGCCGACCUGAGAGGGUGAUCGGCCACACUGGGACUGAGACACGGCCCAGACUCCUACGGGAGGCAGCAGUAUGGAAUCUUCGGCAAUGGACGAAAGUCUGACCGAGCAACGCCGCGUGAGUGAAGAAGGUUUUCGGAUCGUAAAACUCUGUUGUUAGAGAAGAACAAGGACGUUAGUAACUGAACGUCCCCUGACGGUAUCUAACCAGAAAGCCACGGCUAACUACGUG